rnacentral:rRNA from 1 species
UACGUAGGGGGCAAGCGUUGUCCGGAUUUAUUGGGCGUAAAGAGCGUGUAGGCGGCUAGGUAGGUCCGUUGUGAAAACUCGAGGCUCAACCUCGAGACGUCGAUGGAAACCAUCUAGCUAGAGUCCGGAAGAGGAGAGUGGAAUUCCUGGUGUAGCGGUGAAAUGCGCAGAUAUCAGGAGGAACACCGACGGCGAAGGCAGCACUCUGGGCCGGUACUGACGCUGAGGAGCGAAAGCGUGGGGAGUAAACAGG